GUGACACCCACCCAAUGGAAUUGGAGCCCAGAAGCCUAGCUGAAGGCAUUUUCAGACCUGUCUUAAAUCCCGUUAUAAAGUACGGGGUGAUAUAACAGUAACAGAGUUCACUGCGGGCACCAUUAGGACGCCUCCAGCCCAACUCAAGCAUUCCAGGAUUCUGAGCGAUGCACAUACUGGCAUCUGUGAGUUAC